AUGGGCACAUGAGCCUCAGGCAGACCGCAGGUGCGGGGCCUGAGCUGGCCUCUCCUGCUGUUGCUACUGCUGCUGCUUGAGCUGCUGGCCUCAGGAGUGCAGGAAACAUGGGGUCACUGGGGAACUGAGAACAGCCACACUGGCAUAGUCGACACCUUUUGCUGGAGCAUCCAUAGCCUGUUGUGAAAAGGCAAUAUCUGCUGCUCAAAAGAUCUUGACCUGGCUCACCAAGAAGUUUGUGUUGGGAGUACAUAUGUUUCUACAGACAUUGUGGAGAGUCUAGUAAGAGGUUUUGGAUGUUCUUGGACUUGACAUCUCCAACCUGUCCCAGCAUUGCAACCCAGCCUCAGUGGCCAGCAGCCUAGCCUAGGCCCUUCUUUUGGUCAGUGCCAGCUGCUUGGCCUACUGAUUCUAGUUUCUGACCCUGGACAUAACCUUCAAAGCACUGCAUCUGGUGUUCAGCACUUCUUCUGGAUCGUGUGGACCAUCCUGUUCUCCAGGUCCUGCAAGCACAUUCUGCACAAGGAUAAGGGUGAGGAAUGAGGUGCUCCCUGUGCUUCACAGUAAAGUCCACCUUAUGACCUGGCCCAUGGGCUUUUACAGGCAUGGCAGCUCUACUGUAAAUAAGAAGCUGGAGCACCUGAGAACAAGGUCAGACUUUUCAACAUUUGCCUCAACAGGGGGCUAAAAAUUCUCCACUGCUCCAAAGAAGCGUAAAGGUUAGCCAACCAUAAGUGCCAGUUUCUUUUUUCUUUUUUUUUUUUUUGAGACGGAGUCUCACUCUGUC
rnacentral:lncRNA from 1 species